GUGGGGAAUAUUGGACAAUGGGCGAAAGCCUGAUCCAGCCAUGCCGCGUGUGUGAAGAAGGUCUUCGGAUUGUAAAGCACUUUAAGUUGGGAGGAAGGGCAGUAAGUUAAUACCUUGCUGUUUUGACGUUACCGACAGAAUAAGCACCGGCUAACUUCGUGCCAGCAGCCGCGGUAAUACGAAGGGUGCAAGCGUUAAUCGGAAUUACUGGGCGUAAAGCGCGCGUAGGUGGUUUUGUAAGUUGGAGGUGAAAUCCCCGGGCUCAACCUGGGAACUGCCUCCAAAACUGCAUGACUAGAGUACGGUAGAGGGUAGUGGAAUUUCCUGUGUAGCGGUGAAAUGCGUAGAUAUAGGAAGGAACAUCAGUGGCGAAGGCGACCACCUGGACUGAUACUGACACUGAGGUGCGAAAGCGUGGGGAGCAAACAGGAUUAGAAACCCGUGUAGUCC
rnacentral:rRNA from 1 species